CCUACGGGGGGCUGCAGUGGGGAAUAUUGGACAAUGGGGGCAACCCUGAUCCAGCCAUGCCGCGUGUGUGAAGAAGGCCCUCGGGUUGUAAAGCACUUUCAGUGAGGAAGAACGCCUGGUGGUUAAUACCCAUCAGGAAAGACAUCACUCACAGAAGAAGCACCGGCUAACUCCGUGCCAGCAGCCGCGGUAAUACGGAGGGUGCGAGCGUUAAUCGGAAUUACUGGGCGUAAAGCGCGCGUAGGUGGCUUGAUAAGCCGGUUGUGAAAGCCCCGGGCUCAACCUGGGAACGGCAUCCGGAACUGUGAAGCUAGAGUGCAGGAGAGGAAGGUAGAAUUCCCGGUGUAGCGGUGAAAUGCGUAGAGAUCGGGAGGAAUACCAGUGGCGAAGGCGGCCUUCUGGACUGACACUGACACUGAGGUGCGAAAGCGUGGGUAGCAAACAGGAUUAGAUACCCUAGUAGUC
rnacentral:rRNA from 1 species